CCCGCCGGGCCUGCGCUGACCUCUCCUCUUGCCCCCUCGGGCCACCAGCCAUGUCUUCCUCUGUAGACAGGCGUGAGGGGCCGGUGGUGGCCGUGGAGCUGGUGGCCCAGGAGUGAGAGGGGCCUCGCCGCCCCAGCACGUGAAUAUGGAUUUGUGCCUAAGGACAGGCGGUGGCGGGCUCCGGCCCUAAUUAGUGCGCGAUGGCUGCUCCCUCUGCCCCUGGGAGCCGGGGUGGGGGUAGGGGGGCAUCAAAGGAAGGCAGCCUGCUAAUCCCCCUCUUCCAAGGGCGGCAUCUGCUCCCUCCCUCCCCCGGGCGCGUCUCUCUGACAGCAGGCCGCGAGAGUCUCGGCUAUUUAAUUAGGCCCGAAAGUUCCCCCAACCCUGGGAAAUGAUUUCAUUUCAAUAUUUCCUUUGCCGAGCGCGACACCCUCCCCCAUCCUCAAAGGCCUUUCAUCUGCGGCUCGGCCCAUCCCCCGCCAGGGGCCUCUCCCCUCCCCUCUCAUUGGCGUCCUGUUCAAGGGGCCAGGCUGGGCCAGGGGCGGCGGUGGCGGCUGGUCUUUGAGACAGGCGCCGCCCCCCCCCCCCGCCCCAGCCAUUGGCCCAGCUGCGGCUGGUAACCAGCUGCGAGCAUCCUGCCAGCCUGGCCUCCCGCCCGCACGCCCUGGGUCCUACCCCAGACCUUGGCCAAGCAGCUCCCUCUCCAGGCGUGCCCCGCCCCCCCCCUCCCGGGGGCAGGUCCAGGCCGCGUGAGGAGCCGCCCGCCCUGAGACAUGAUGUCACACGGAGCUCGUCCCUCCCUGCUUUUGUCAGCCUCUGCUGGCCGGGUCACCCUUUGCGGGCCCCAGUCCCGCCUGCCUGAUUCUGCUCCCCGUGCUGUGUGCACACACACUGCACGUGUGAGGCUGUCUGUGCGUGCUUGUGCACAUGCGUGGGGGUGCAUGGUACGCGUGGGGGUGCGAGGUUGCGUGUACCUCUGUGCCUGCGAGUGUGUGUGGUCGGCACGUGCAUGCACACGUGUACCUGUGCGUGUAUGCGUGUGCACAUGUAGGCACGUCUGUGGGAGCCCCUGAGGUCUGAGCCUGGUUCCUGUCUCUCUUUAGGCAGCUGGUGCUCCCGUCCUCCACGGACCGUGCGGGGCCAGCACCAGGCCCGGCUGCAGAGCAGAGGCUCCCGGAGGGGUGGGGGGUGGGAUCUGGGGGGCGCUGGGGGGGGAAGGUCCUGAGCUCCGGAGGCCCUCUGCAGACUCAGUCUCCACGUUUGUACAAACUCGUCCGUCCCCGAGGUCUGUGCCCAGAGCACAGCCACAGGCCCGAAGGUCAGGCCGACUUUGCCUCGGGGGGGGGGGGGGGGGGGGGGCCCCCCCCCCCCGCCCGCGCCCCCCCCCCCCGCCCUCUCUGAAGCCGUGCCCCCCACAGCGUCCUCCUCUGUCCUCCUCCACUUGGGCCCGGAGGCCCUCCUGGAGGCGGCUAAUGAGAGGUGUCAGCUGGGAGGCUCUUCUGGGGAACCCGCCGUCCUGAGCGAUUUCUACACGGGAAAGUCUAGCCUCACGGAGUCCUUUGAAUGCGUCCGAGUGACGAGUGACGAGUGACGAGUGACGAGGCAGCCCUCGGAGUCGCCGGGAGCCGGAGAGGAGAGGAGAGUGAUCUCCACUGGCCUCCUGAAUGUUCUUAAGAAGCUGUUUGUCACGCGGCCCCGAAGGCGAGACAAAACGCUCUCGCAGACAGGCGUCCCACGUCUUCACCGCGGCCAAGUCUCGACGGUAUUGAUCACGCGGCCCUGGGAUCCCCACCCCCCCCCCCCCCGCCCAGGAAGUGAGACACUCGGGGCUCCAGGGGCCCCCGCCCCUCCCCCACCCGGCACCCACUCCUCAGCGGGCCGUCGGCGUCCUCGGGGGCAGCGGGCAGCGGGGCCUGGCACGUGCUGGUCGCUCUGUGGACCCUCGGUGCCAGGAUGGAGGAACGAGAAACCAGGAGUCUGGGGGGGUCGGAGACAGGCUGUUGGAUUCUCAGCGCUACGCCCCUGCUUGGUCAGCUGGCCUCGCCCUCGGGGAUUCCUCUCCCUGCCCCCCGGGGGCUCCCUGCAAGGCCUUGGGGACCCUGGAGACAGUGACAGCCCUCCCCGUGGUGGAGGGGGGGGGCGUUCCGUGUUAUGCUCGGGAAGUGAGUGUGCACAGAACUUUGUGAAUUGCUUUCUUUCCUGUUUUAUGAACUUCUCCGAAUGCCUGCACAUUACUCUCCCCAGGGACGGGGGGAGAUAAAUAGCAAUUAAAGUCCUGUCAUCCGA